rnacentral:rRNA from 1 species
AAGCGAUCCGUGAGCUGGGUUAAUAGCGUCCUGAGGCAGUUUCUACCC